ACACUUACCUAGCAGGAGAGAUACCAUGGUUGUGAAGGUGGUUUUCUCAGGGCAAAGCUUAUCCAUUGUGUUUCAGAUGUCCUGACUCCUGAAAUUUCCCAAAAUGGGGGAGAGUUGACUGCAUAAUUUGUGGUAAUGAGGAAACUAGGUUCACACUCUCCCCU
ensembl:snRNA Gm23040 predicted gene, 23040